GAGGUCUUGCAAGGAUACCCUGGUCCUCCUAUAGCACACGCUGUGCUUGAAUCUGGCAAGUAAAGAACAAGAUAAAGAGUGGUUACUAACUUUCCAGAUCUCUGCUGAACCAAGCAAGAGCAGAGAUAAGAUAUUGAAUAUAUUUCUUGAAAAAAAAUCAACAGCUUCAUGCUCCUCCUAAAAGCAGAAAGUCAGAGAUGGUCCCCAGCCCAAAAGCUUAGAGUCAAAGAAGACCCACUUUGGAGAAGAGCUGCUGUCCUUGUUCCAUAUAUCUAUGGAGAGAUAAGGGGUGUGCUGAUCUCCAUGGGUAUCGAGGUGCCGAAUUCUCUCUUGUGUCGACAAAUUUUGCAAUAUUCACCACUAAUGACAGAUUUCACCAAACUUGAGCUACUUGAUUGAAAGGGCCAUGUUGGUUGUACGCUCCCAGAAUAAUCAAUGUACUGAGUCACCUCCACCAGGUGAUUGCAUGUGGAGCAUGGCUGAGCAGAGAGGAGCCUGCCUUACUGUGCUGUGUCAGCUGGGAAAGUCCAGGCCUAAAUUAGUCCUCUAAGGACUUCACCCAAGAUCAGACAAAUAGUGUGUAGCAAAGAGAAUGAAUCAACCCUGAGCAAAUUAACUCCUUGUUUUAUGUGGCUUUAUGUAAGUUUCUCUGAAGUCUUCUGAUUGUACUGAUGAGCAAUGUCUGAAUGUCAAUAUUUUGAUUACUGUUAAUAUGCAUAAUUUUCAAUAAAAUUAAUUUAGCUAAGAAUAAAAAUACCUUUUAUACAAGAUCUCACA